rfam:Caenorhabditis japonica strain DF5081 Contig9199.1, whole genome shotgun sequence.
GCUUACGACCAUAUCACGUUGAAUACACGCCAUCCCGUCCGAUCUGGCAAGUUAAGCAACGUUGAGUCCAGUUAGUACACAGGUAAAACGGCAUGGCUGAAUGGUGGUUCACUGGUGCGCC